CUACAAAAAGCUCACUUAUUCGAGGGAGUUAUUCGUGGAAAAAUUAAAGAAUAAUGCAGUAGCUCAAAAACUGUUCUGAGACGAGGACGAAUACUCAGAUAUACUAGAUCUUAUUGUACAAUGGCCAAUUAAACCGAUGAGGCUCGACGAAAUUUAUAACAUGUUUGGCGAUUCACUAGCGAUGUUCAAUAUAUACGAGGGAUUUUGUGAAAUGGACAAGGACAAAGAUGGCUUUAUUCCCAUUAAUGACCUGGUUGAAGGAGGGGUCGACAUUGGUUCAAAAAAGGCUGAAAUCACUAAAAUGAUCAUGGGGGAGGAUUUAAACGGUGACGGUUUGAUCGAUUUUCAUGAAUACAUGCAAAUGACGAGCAAUAUGUAUAAGCAGAACGGAGAACCAGAGACGUAACCUCAUAACUAAACUCUACUCUCGACUCAAAUGAAUAUUAGGCAUUGAAAAAUAUAUUUCAAAUGAUUUCUCAAAAUAACAUUAAGGAAUACACUAUGCACAAGAAUUAAUAUUGUACGUUUGAUGAAAACUUCAUACAUACAUUUCAAUAGAUAUUUCAAACCGGUUGUCG